rnacentral:rRNA from 1 species
CACGGGGGGCCUACGGGAGGCAGCAGUGGGGAAUCUUGCGCAAUGGGCGAAAGCCUGACGCAGCGACGCCGCGUGAGGGAAGAAGGCCUUCGGGUUGUAAACCUCUUUCAGGAGGGACGAAGCCACUCGGGUUAAUAGCCCAGAGGGUGACGGUACCUCCAGAAGAAGCCCCGGCUAACUACGUGCCAGCAGCCGCGGUAAUA